UUUUUCUUAACUUGUAGCUCAUAUGCCUGCAUCAUCCCAACUACUUGAUCGAAUUUCAACUCAUCAGAAUUCAACGAGACAUCAAUUGCAGACCUAUGUGGCUGAAACUUCUCUGGCAGACUUCUGAGAAAUUUUUUAACCAACUUCUUAUCUUUAUAGCGUUUUCCCAACACUAUAGCCUCUUGAGAGAUGUUACUCAGCUUGCUGCUGAAUUCCUCAAUAGUCUCACUAUCUCCC
rnacentral:lncRNA from 1 species